CUCCUGUGCCAUUAGAGCACAGCAGGAGGCAUGGAGCAGAUGCCUUCUCCUCCUUCCCCACGGGGUCCCCAGGUCUGCCCUGGGGAGUACCUGUAAGAGAUGGCAAGUCACAUACCUUUCUAUUUCUGCUUCGCUCAGAAAGCCUGGUGCAUCAUCUGGAAACAGACUCAGGGGCCGGGACCCGGGACCCUCCGGCCGCCAGCUGGAGCACGGCCCUCUCCGAGGACAGGAAGCCGACGAGGUUCACCCGGGACCAGCAGGACCUGCCUCACUGCCCCUGGAGCUCCGAGGGUGUCCCCUUGGCGCUCGGCUGCCCCGGCGGCACCUCCGGGCGCCCCCGCGGGCAUGUGCAAGUGCAGCCCAGAGCCCGCGGAGGGCGUCCUAAUACAGUGUACGACGAACCAGCCAGACGCUGAAAACUUGAAAGGCAACGGAAUCUGUGACCGCGACACAAGCCUGUCCCUCCUUGUAACUCCGAGCUUCCUGAUUUACCAGACCCCACUGUUCAAUAAAGUGACAUUUGCUUUCGGGUCCAACUAACCUCUCAAAUAUGUAUUAUCAUCCCCGUUCCUGUUGGAUGAUGAGGCUUUGUCUCACUCCCCCUGCACUCAACUCGUGUUCUGGGCAGGCCAGGCGUUUUGGCCGCGUAUGAAGUUGAGAACACAAAUGAGAUGCUUACACUGUAUUUCCACGUCUAGUGCUGCUACUCUCAUGGUGAGUGUCCAGUGAUUUAGGCUGUGGGUAUGCAUCUAGGGAGGCCCUGGGCCAAAAUUAAAUUGCCCUGCAUAAGGAAGAAAGUAGGAUUCAGAGGCUUCAGGGGAAAGUUGAGUCUGAGGACUGGAGCUGCCUCGAGGGAAAGAAUCCACUUGGUGGCCCCACUGGAAAACCUGAAAAUAUUUGUGUUGCAAUGUUUGUGAUGUAAAACCGGCCUUUAUCGCCUGCACAGGAGCCUCAGCCUAGUUGACCUUGGGCUCGAUGCUUCUGGAAGCCUUGCUGGGCUCCGGGAAUCUGGAAUGUGAGAGGCUGAGCACUGUUCACUACCGGGCAGGAGGCAGAGACUCCACAAAACAAGUGUGUGGCUGCUGGUUUACGUGAGGAGCUGUCACACACCGGGACGUGCCCCUGAGGACCAGGGCGGCCCAGGUGGAGUCUGUCCAAAGCCCAAGAACAGUAAUUACAGCAGGCAGGAUGUGACAGACACCCAGGCCAGAGCACUGCCUCUGUGCCCUGGUCGUGCUCCGCAGGCUUGCUGGCUUUCCUCAUGCCGUUUUCCCCACGAAUCUCUGUUCUUUCCUUUUUCCUUGGACCCCCGGUGCAGACAGCUGACUCAGUCAUACUCCAUGGUUCUGGGUGCAAAACUGUGCAGGGUCUUCUUGUUUUAUUUAUACUUUCUCCCUUGUCUCCAAGUCCCAUUCCCAUUCUCUUCACCCCGUGGGCAGUGGCUCUUGAAUGUUCUCACAAACCCUCGGAUACAGAGGGGUCCUUGCACACACAAGUAGUACGGGACUGUUUCUUCCUUCUUUAAACCUAGUACCACGGU
rnacentral:lncRNA from 1 species